rnacentral:rRNA from 1 species
CCUACGGGAGGCAGCAGUGAGGAAUAUUGGUCAAUGGCCGAGAGGCUGAACCAGCCAAGCCGCGUGAGGGAAGAAUGUCCUAUGGAUUUUAAACCUCUUUUGUCAGGGAGCAAAGUCACCCACGAGUGGGUGUUGGAGAGUACCUGAAGAAAAAGCAUCGGCUAACGCCGUGCCAUCAGCCGCGGUAAUACGGGGGAUGCGCGCGUUAUCCGGAUUGAUUGGGUUUAAAGGGUGCGUAGGCGGGUUAUCAAGUCAGCGGUAAAAUCGUGGAGCUCAACUCCAUCCAGCCGUUGAAACUGAGGAACUUGAGUGGGCGAGAAGCAUGCGGAAUGCGUGGUGGAGCGGUGAAAUGCAUAGAUAUUACGCAGAACUCCGAUUGCGAAGGCAGCAUACCGGCGCCCGACUGACGCUGAAGCACGAAAGCGUGGGUAUCGAACAGGAUUAGAUACCCUGGUAGUC